rnacentral:rRNA from 1 species
UACGGGAGGCAGCAGUGGGGAAUAUUGCACAAUGGGCGCAAGCCUGAUGCAGCCAUGCCGCGUGUAUGAAGAAGGCCUUCGGGUUGUAAAGUACUUUCAGUCGUGAGGAAGGUGUUAAGGUUAAUAACCUUAGCAAUUGACGUUAGCGACAGAAGAAGCACCGGCUAACUCCGUGCCAGCAGCCGCGGUAAUACGGAGGGUGCGAGCGUUAAUCGGAAUUACUGGGCGUAAAGGGCACGCAGGCGGUUAAUUAAGUUGGAUGUGAAAUCCCCGGGCUUAACCUGGGAAUGGCAUUCAGGACUGGUUAGCUAGAGUCUUGUAGAGGGGGUAGAAUUCCAUGUGUAGCGGUGAAAUGCGUAGAGAUGUGGAGGAAUACCGGUGGCGAAGGCGGCCCCUGGACAAGGGCUGACGCUCAUGUGCGAAAGCGUGGGGAGCAAACAGGGAUUAGAUACC